rnacentral:rRNA from 1 species
CCUACGGGUGGCAGCAGUCGAGAAUCAUUCACAAUGGGGGAAACCCUGAUGGGGCGACGCCGCGUGGGGGAAUGAAGGUCUGCGGAGUGUAAACCCCUGUCAUGUGGGAGCAAAUUAAAAAGAUAGUACCACAAGAGGAAGAGACGGCUAACGCUGUGCCAUCAGCCGCGGUAAUACAGAGGUCUCAAGCGAUGUUUGGAACCACGGGGCGUAAAGCGUGCGUAGGGUGUUUCGUAAGGCGUGUGUGAAAGGCGCGGGCUCAACCCGCGGACGGCACAUGAUACUGCGAGACUAGCGUACUGGAGGGGGAACCGGAAUUCUCGGUGUAGCCGU